AUUGAACGCUGGCGGCAGGCCUAACACAUGCAAGUCGAACGAGUGGCGGACGGGUGAGUAAUGUCUGGGAAACUGCCUGAUGGAGGGGGAUAACUACUGGAAACGGUAGCUAAUACCGCAUACCAUCAGAUGUUCCCAGAUGGGAUUAGCUAGUGGGUGGGGUAACGGCUCACCUAGGCGACGAUCCCUAGCUGGUCUGAGAGGAUGACCAACGACACUGGAACUGAGACACGGUACAGACUCCAACGGGAGGCAGCAGUGGGGAAUAUUGCACAAUGGGCGCAAGACUGAAGCAGCCAUGCCGAGUGUAUGAAGAAGGCCUUCGGGUUGUAAAGUACUUUCGGCGAGGAGGCGUUACCCGCAGAAGAAGCACCGGCUAACUCCGUGCCAGCAGCCGCGGUAAUUC
rnacentral:rRNA from 1 species